rnacentral:rRNA from 1 species
UACGGAGGGGACUAGCGUUGUUCGGAAUUACUGGGCGUAAAGCGCACGUAGGCGGAUUUGUAAGUCAGGGGUGAAAUCCCGGGGCUCAACCUCGGAACUGCCUUUGAUACUGCAAAUCUCGAGUCCGGAAGAGGUGAGUGGAAUUCCUAGUGUAGAGGUGAAAUUCGUAGAUAUUGGGAAGAACACCAGUGGCGAAGGCGGCUAACUGGUCCAGUACUGACGCUGAGGUGCGAAAGCGUGGGGAGCAAACAGG